rnacentral:rRNA from 1 species
UGCAAGUCGAGCGGUAAGGCCCUUUCGGGGGUACACGAGCGGCGAACGGGUGAGUAACACGUGGGUGAUCUGCCCUGCACUUCGGGAUAAGCCUGGGAAACUGGGUCUAAUACCGGAUAUGACCAGAGGCUGCAUGGCUUUUGGUGGAAAGGUUUACUGGUGCAGGAUGGGCCCGCGGCCUAUCAGCUUGUUGGUGGGGUAAUGGCCUACCAAGGCGACGACGGGUAGCCGACCUGAGAGGGUGACCGGCCACACUGGGACUGAGACACGGCCCAGACUCCUACGGGAGGCAGCAGUGGGGAAUAUUGCACAAUGGGCGAAAGCCUGAUGCAGCGACGCCGCGUGAGGGAUGACGGCCUUCGGGUUGUAAACCUCUUUCAGCAGGGACGAAGCGAAAGUGACGGUACCUGCAGAAGAAGCACCGGCCAACUACGUGCCAGCANNNNGG